AUUGCAAGCCCCCACCUAUGUUGGUUAAUUCUGCUUCACAUGGAAGAGACAGCCAUUGGGCCAGCCCUGAACAAAGAUCCCUGUCACCAAGAUCCACUGCUCCUGCUGUGGUCAGGCAAAGAGAAGGUUAUGUCUCCUGAGUUCUAGUUCUCCGUCCUGAAGUCCAUGUAAUGUGAGUUACAAGCCGUCUGCAGAGUUACCCAAGCUCCAUGAAACAAUCAUAAAGGAACAAAAGGACAAAGUAAUUGGGGGAAUAUAACAACAAUGAACACAGGGCUAGAGUGUGUAAUCCUGUUGCUGUCGUUAAUCCUGUUGCAGUUCACUCUUAUCCAAUUCUGUAUGCUCCUUAGAUCCAGAAACAGGCAUGUUAUGUCCUUGUGCAUCUGCUCUGCCCAGCUAGAUGUUGUCAUCCCUACCCAAGAAGAAUGCAUUAGAUCCAGUAAAAGCUUCAUGUUCAGUCUCAGUUGCAAAGAGCAGAGCAUUUCAAAGUAGGGGUCAUGAAGCCUGCUCCAUGGGCUUUACUGAUUGUCUGCAGGAAACCGCUCUCAUCUUAACCUCUGUGUCCUUGAAUCAAAAGACAUUUUUGCUGGUCACACAGGACAACGUUUUCUUAAUAUUCCUCAAAUUUCCCUACCAAAUCUUAAAAGUAUGAUUCUCCUCUGAGAGUUAAAGUAGCAAAACCUGUAUAUGACGCACAUGAUUCUUCAUUUUUUAGAAGAAACCAGAAAGACAUUUUGUAAAUGGACAGCUGAGUGAUAUGGGGCUAGUAAUGGAAGGGAGGCUUUGGAAGGGCUGGCCUUGAAUGUGAUUAACUUAACAGUAAAACCUGAUGAAAUCAAUCAGUUCCUUCCUGAAGAGACCACAGCAUGGUGCUGAAGAGCGUGAUCUCAGGAAUACAGAACUGGAUUUAAAUCCCUGCCUCAGAUGACUUUGUGAACCACGUAUCCUCUAUGGAAAUCAGUUUCUUCAUCAUUGAAAUGGAGAUAACUGGUAUUAUCCGCAGUGAUUUGCUUGCCUUUCUUACACUGUCUUGAUAUCUGCAUCUUUGAGAAUCCAAACUGACACAGUUGUCACCAGAACUGGACCAAGAAGGCAAGUGGCAAGAUGGGGUUUGGAAAUUGAAUCUCUGACCACCAUCUGGCUAUGGUAUGUGGUUCAUGGACAGUUCUUAGCAUAAGGUGGCAGCCCAAUUGGUAAAACUUUCAACAGUUGUGGACCUGGAAAAUGUCCCAGUGGAAGGAAUGCCCUUCCUAAUGUGAAGACUCAGAAAUUGGAAAGGUACAUGGGACAAUGCACACGGGACAGUGGGAUUGACUCAUUAUUACUAAGUUGCCUUGACCCUCUACAGUGUGAUAAAGAGAAACAGGGUAGUUAACAAACAGCUAAAAAUUAAGCAUGUUGGCCAGACAGCUUUAUUGGUAGCUUAAAAAGAGGUCAUUAUCACCUGCAGUGGAUGAUUAGAUACAGCUGAGAAACAAACACAGGAUCCAAAAGUGAGGGUCACUUAUGGGGAAUUAAGAGGAUGGUUGAUUAUACCUGAGAGCUGAAGGGCAGGACAGAUGGGGAGCCAAGAAAGAUGUUUCUGAAUAUAUAUGAUUAAAACAGGGUGAGAGUGGAAAAGCAGAAAGCUGAUGCUAGUUGCACUAAUAAAAUAUCAUGAUCUGUUGCUCAAUUUCUAGGCCUAACCCAACUUUCACGUCAGAACCUAUUGAGUUAAGAGUUGGAGUAAGAAUCAUAUAAUGUCACAGCAAGUAUAUACUGCAAAGAUUCCUCCAGGAAUCUUUUCCAAAGGGACAUUUGACCACUUACUUGGAUGACUAUACACUGGGGGAGAAAAGGGAAUACUCAUUUUGAUGACUAUUGGACACAGAUAAUGCAUUGACAUUGAUACCCAAUGAUCCAGAGUAUUAUCCUGGCCCCCGUAUUAGAAUGGAGCAUACAGGAACCAGGAAAUAAAUGGAAACAGGAUUAAAUCAGGCUUGCAGUGGGUCCAUUUCUCGAGUCUCCAAGAGCAUAACUGGGAUUAAAAUACGUGGCAGUGGAGUAACCUGCACCCUGGAUUCUUGGCUUGUUGGGUGACAAUUGUUGCUGUGCAGAAUGCGAAGUGGAACUUUCUGAAACUGCCACCCCCUCUACCCAUGGGCAAGAACAAUAUCACAUUCUAGAGGGCAAUGGCAGAGAUUAGUGUCGCUCUUAAAGCUCUAAAGGAUGUAGGACUGGUGGUACCUAUCCUAGCUCCAUUUAAUUUGUCCAUGAACCCUGAAUAAAUCAGAUAAAUCCUUGAAAUAACUGUAGACUACCACUCAACCAAGUAACAUUCCUGAAUACAUCUGCCAUGCUGGGUGUUGUAUUGUAGCCACUAAAUGGGCAAACACAUAUUUUUAUGCAUCAGAAAAGAGGACCAAAAAUUGCUUGCAUUCACAUAGAAUGAACAAAAACCUUUCUUUACAG
rnacentral:lncRNA from 1 species